GACGAACGCUGGCGGCGUGCUUAACACAUGCAAGUCGAACGAUGAACCACUUCGGUGGGGAUUAGUGGCGAACGAGUGAGUAACACGUGGGCAAUCUGCCCUUCACUCUGGGACAAGCCCUGGAAACGGGGUCUAAUACCGGAUAACACUUCUGCUCUCAUGGGCAGGGGUUAAAAGCUCCGGCGGUGAAGGAUGAGCCC
rnacentral:rRNA from 1 species